UCAGGUUCAAAUGGGAGGAACUUGUUGAGCUCAUCAGGAAUUGGAUUGUUGUGGAAAUCAGAAAGUUUGCACUUGACUUGUGCUUCAAGAAGGGAAUGCCCGCUAGUGGGUAGCAAAGGGUUAAGACCUCGGCUGAAGAGUUCUUGAGGUGGCUGGAUUCAUGGCAUUGUGUUCAUAGAAUAAGAGCAAAGGGUUGUAGACUGGGGGAGCUAACUGGUCAAGGAAGGAAAAUUGGUAUAGUGGUGCCAGAGAUGGUGAGGGGUUGGAGAAGAUGGUUAAAUCUCCUUGGAGAUCAAUUCAACUUCAACCUUCAUUCUAAUUUUCUCAACUAAUGAUCAAACUUGAUCGAGUUGUGCCAAAAAUUUGAAGACUUGAAUCUGCUUGUAUUGUGAUCAAGCAUAUACACGUAGGAAGCAAUGACGGAUCUAGGAAUUUUUCAGGAGGAGGUGCAAUAUUUAAAAGGCUAAAAGCUUCCAAAAAAAAAAAUCAUAUAUAGAUGGGAUCAUAAAUUAUCAAGCAAGCCAACUAAAAAGAUAGAAACAAGCAAUACAGAAGGUUAAAAGGGCCUACUAUCCAUUAGAGAAUUGCAUAAGAAAAACCAGUGAAAAAGUUCGAAUUUGAAUACUAGAGAGUAAAUAUAAUUCAAUCUUAUCUUACCAAAACUGUUUAUACCUAAUUAAACGGCCUAUUACCGCCGGACACGUGGACAGGAUCCAUUCUGAUCACAGGACCCCUUCGGCAUGCUCCCUACCGAAGCCAUCUAUCUUGGCCCUUUUUACCAUCAGACACGUGUCAUGCUCGCAAUCCAUGCCUGGAGUCCCACAUCGGAAAAAUGAGCACAACGCACACCUCCCAAGGUCUAUAUAAGGAGACCCAUAUCCCCAAAAGGAAGGGAUCAGAACUAACGGUACGCUAUCGUGUGAUCUGUCA
rnacentral:lncRNA from 1 species